rnacentral:rRNA from 1 species
UACGUAGGGGGCAAGCGUUGUCCGGAAUUAUUGGGCGUAAAGAGCGCGUAGGCGGUCCGAUAAGUCGGCUGUGAAAGUCAAGGGCUCAACCCUUGAAAGCCGGCCGAUACUGUCGGACUAGAGUCCGGAAGAGGCAAGUGGAAUUCCCGGUGUAGCGGUGAAAUGCGCAGAUAUCGGGAGGAACACCAAUGGCGAAGGCGGGUCUCUGGACAGUUCCUGACGCUGAGGCACGAAGGCCAGGGGAGCAAACGGG